CUGUGAUGCAUGCACACUUUACCUUUUCUAAAUUCAUGUCUGUGUGAUUAUGCAGAUAGAAAGAAGGUGAAAGGUCAGGCUCUGUGGGAGAGGAAUGGAUUCUGGUUGGGAGGUGGCACCGGAUGAGUUUUGGGUAGAGAGGACGCCACAGAGAUGUCCUCUCUGAAACCCCAGCUGGAGGAGCUCGGGGUCCCUCUGUACGCUGUGGUGAAGAACGAUAGCAGCACAGAGGUCCAAGACUUCAGAUCCUACUUCAGUGCGGAGAUCUUUGUGGAUUGCAUAGGCAUACUUCUGGAACACACGAAGAAGAAAUUUGGAGAAAAACUGGUCAUUCUGACAUCCUGGAGGCUGCAAAGAAAAUAAGAGUCAAUAAAUGUGGAUAAUAUUUUAAAGAACUUCACAACUUUUAAAUUUCUUUCAAGUAAUGUCUUUUGAUGAACUAUAUAUUAAAAGCCAAGUGGCCUCUGUGUACACCUGUAGGUGGGUGAUUCUUAGACUACGGGCACUUAUGUCCUUUGAUCAUAUUGUAUGAAAAACAGAUAA